rnacentral:misc_RNA from 1 species
CAAGUUAAAACAAAUAAUCGGAUACAAAGAAUCAUCCACAAUCAAGCGUCUCACUGCUCAACGUGUCCUUUUCAGGACAGUCGCUAACAACGCGCCUUCUACAAACGGGACAAUACGUGCCACAUUUAAUUGCAAUAUCUGCUAUAGUUUACCCGUCAUUUUUUUUAUCAUCUCCUCGGUAAUUGAUCGAUUUCGCGUCUAUAAAAUAAUUCACCCUUGGAGCCAAUAAAAUCAUCAACGAUCCGAAAAACUUUUGCAAGCUUUCUGUAAGUAGAAACUCGAUCGAUAAAACGAUUAAAUUAUAAUAUACAACAGACAGAUCGAACAAAACGGAGCAUUGUCGCCGUAUGCAUAACUUCACACAAUCGAAUUACCACAGAAAAAUUACCCCCCCCGUUUUCUACAAAUCAAGACUUGAAAUUACGCUUAUCACUCUAUCUAAUACCGAUGAUCGAUUAGUCACGGGAGGGCAAUCACGCGCACGAGGGAUCCUCUCGCUUCGCUCGAGAGGGCAAGUGUACGCGUGUGCGAGCUUGCGUAUGUGUGGGAGCUUGUACGUGUGAUAAAGCGGCAAGCGUGGAGGGAAGCUCCAUCGGACAUGCGCCAGGCUUUCUCUCCCUUCAGGUACUAUGAGCGGUGGUGUCUACGGCGGUGACGAGGUAGGUGCUAUCAUCUUCGACGUCGGACAUCAGAGCCUUCGCGUGGGAUAUGGCGGCGAGGACACGCCGAAGGCCGAAAUCCCGACGGUCCUCGGGGUGUGGGAGGACCCGGCCGAACCCGGCGUCGACGGCAACAACAUCGCCAGGAAGCACUACAACAUGGACGUCACGGCCAUCCAAGUGCGAAAGAAGGAUAUGGAGAUAGUGAGCCUGAUGAAGGACGGCAUGAUCGAGGAUUGGGACAUGUUCGAGCGGCUGACUGAGUAUACUUACCAGCAACGCUUGCACGCCCUAGCCGAGCACCAUCCGAUCCUAAUGACCGAGUGCCCCUGGAACACCAGACUGAAGCGGGAAAAGUUGCUGGAGCUGAUGUUCGAGAAGUUCAACGUACCGGCCAUGUACAUCUGCAAGAACGCCGUGUUGGCGGCUUACGCUAACGGCAGGUCCACGGCGAUGGUCGUGGACAGCGGCGCCACGCACACCAGCGCGGUGCCGGUUCACGACGGUUACGUUAUCACUCAGGGAAUCGUCAAGAGCCCCUUGGGAGGCGACUUCAUCACUAUGCAGUGCAGACAGUUCUUCGAGGAGAAGGAUAUCGAAUUGGUGCCGGCUUGUCUGAUCGCUAGCAAGGACGUGGUGCGCGAGAGAGACCCUCCACGUUGGUCGAAACGACCUGGUCCUCAACCAACGUCUUCCUGGAUGAGCUACAUGGUGAGAGAAGUGCUGCAGGAUUUUCAAAUGAACUGCCUGCAAGUGUCGGAUAGUCCCUACGACGAAGACGUGGCGAACACUUUGCCCAUGAAGCACUUCGAAUUCCCGACCGGCUACAACGACGACUUUGGAUCCGUCAGGCUCAUGAUACCCGAAGCUCUUUUCGACCCCAGCAACGUCAAAGGUGUGGGUGCGAGUAUCUUGGGGGUUGGUCCUCUGGUCACCACGAGUGUCGGGAUGUGCGAUAUGGACAUCAGACCAAGUUUAUAUGGCAGCGUAGUGGUGACCGGUGGCAAUUCCUGCCUUCAGGGAUUCAGCGAGCGCUUGAAUCGAGACCUCGCCAGCAAAACGCCGCCGAGUAUGAGACUGAAAAUAAUUAGCGCGAACAGCUCGAGCGAGCGUCGCUACGGUGCUUGGAUCGGCGGCUCCAUUCUCAGCUCCUUGGGCUCGUUCCAGCAAAUGUGGCUGUCGCGGCAGGAGUACGAGGAGUCCGGCAAGAUAAUUUUAGAGAGAUGCGCAUAAUCCGCCUACGUGACGAGAGGUAUUCGUUAAUCGUGGUGCUAGAGAACCAGUUCUUUUUCGAGGUGGAUUGGAUCACUUAACUUUUUUAAGCACACACUCUAUAUCUGUUCGCCUCUUUCCGCUGGCCGAGUGGAAUCAACGUGUACUCGACGCUGAACUGGAAAAGCUAUUUAUAGCCUACCGAAAUUCCCUUGUGAUCUUAACGUUAUGAGAAUCUGUACGGAGAUACACAGACUUGCAUACUUCCAAACCGAGUGACUGCAUGUACCCGAGCAGAACAUCAUCCCACGGCCGUAUUAAAACCCCAUCCGGCUUCCAAACUUCAAAUAGGGCCCGGAUAAUUUUAUCGGAUCCGGCACGUAAUAACGAGUGAAACGCACUGCUGCAUAAUGAUAAAAUUACCCUGAUAAAAUUGCCUGAAAUCGAGAAACCCUGAUCAAAUGUCCAUCAGGACACCCAAAUCAGGCAUCCAAAUAAUGACGUCAUCGCUGGUCAGGGUAUAAUCCGGAAAAUAUUGCAAGACAAUUGUCACAUCCCGACCGGAUAAGGACCACUCGAAAUACCUUCUUAUAGCUUGCCUAGACAUGCCAUAUCAGGUAUAAAAAUUGCCGUAUUUGAUAUCUGCUCGGGCAUUUGCUCUCUAUCAGAGUUAAUCAAACGUUACGAUCCGAUUCCUACAUCUGUGAUAUAUCUCAAGGCUGAUACGCGAUUCUACGGGAUCCGCGCGGUUCGACAGCGCGGUUCGAUGGAUCAAGUGGAAUGC